CCUGAGACCCUAGACCUACACCCCUUUAGAAUCCGCCACAAUACACACAACCCCCACCCCUGAACUUCUUAUUCUUCCAUUUUGAAAACAACAGACCUCAGCCCAAAAAUUUCCUCUUCAAGAUGGACCAGUCGCCCCUCCUCAUGAGACCAACUGAUUCCCCCCCUUAGCUUGGAAGAAAAUGGAACAACUUCACAAAGAAGGAGAAGCAGCUGCAAAAAUCAACAACGAACCAACCUUCAUCUCUUUAACCACAACUCAUAGCGAUCCCGUCCCACCACCAUAGUCGCCGGAGAUUCGACCACCAUACUUACACACACAGCGGAAAACACAGAUCCGAAACAAAACAAACAAAAAGGGCUUGAGCUCAGUUCUUUUUCGAUUAUGAAAUAAAAAAACACACCAAAAAAAUGCAAGAAAUGAGAGGGGAGGGACGAAAUGGAGGUUGAUUGGAUUUUCAGUUUGUUUAGGCUUUAAAUUAUUGAUAUAUAUAUAUAUAUACACACACAUACACAUCUAUACAAAGAGAUUUCAGUUCCUUGUUAGUUUUCAUUUUCGAUUCUGCGUAUCAAAAGGACCAAAGGUUUUUAAUUCUUCCUUGAUUUCUCAUUGUGGGGUUCGUUGAAUUCGUUUUAGUACGGAGAUUUCUGGUCCUGUUUUGUCCAUACUAAUUCUGCUGGAAAUCCCUUGUUGCUAUGGAAUCCGAUUAAAGUGUCAAGUGUCAUUUGAGGUUCACGGUUCCGGUUCGAUUGUUGCUGUCCUGUUCUUGUUCUGUUGCACGUUCAAAGAUCUGCCCGUAUUCAUCUCUGAAUAUAAUAAGUAGAAAUUAUGCACAUUCAGGUUCGUCCCCGUGCUUUUUCUCUUAUUGUAUUACUGUAUUGAUCAAAACAGAAUCUGAAAAGCUAUUUUUCUUGAGUUCUUGCUGAUUGUUCUGAUUUGUGCGAUCGAAACUUGCCAUUAAAUGAAUUUUGAUUAGUGACCUUUUUUCUCGUGACUUUCACAAACAUCCCGGUGCGUUCCUAUUGGUUUGAGGUUAGUGAAUUCGUUCUUGAUUUUCUUUGUGUGUUGUUGAUUCAGUGUGGUCAUGCCAAGUUAAGUCGCCGGCCAGUUUUGGUAAGAGGUGCAAUCGCCUGGCUUAGUCUACUUCGGACUUGAUUCUUCUCUGAAAAUGCUAAACUAAUGAUCGUGUCUAGUGAUAAUGUCUACAUAUCUUGCUUCCUCUAUGGUUGAAAUUGAUAUUUAACAGAGUUAUCAUAGUUUGUAUUCAUGUUUUUUUGGAUAAUUUCGAGCUCAAUCUACGCCUGUCGAUGCUCGGAUUCAUGAAUUAUGGUAGUUGAAUUUUCAGUUGUGCUUGGUCCCUUGUAAGGCUAUAUCCGCUUCUGGUUCUGGGUCUAUUUGGGUCUGCGGUUCCGGUUCAGGCGGUUCAGGCGGUUCCGGAGCCGGAACCGCUACCAUACGGUUCCGGAACCGUCCGGUUCCGGCGGUUCCCGGCGGUUCUGAAUUUUUUUUUUUAAAACCAAUAUCUUGUAUAGUAGUCAUUAGUAUAUUGU
rnacentral:lncRNA from 1 species